rnacentral:rRNA from 1 species
GUGAGGAAUAUUGGUCAAUGGGCGCAAGCCUGAACCAGCCAUCCCGCGUGAAGGACGACGGCCCUAUGGGUUGUAAACUUCUUUUGUACGGGAAGCACGUGCGCUAUGUAUAGCGUAUUGACGGUACCGUACGAAUAAGCAUCGGCUAACUCCGUGCCAGCAGCCGCGGUAAUACGGAGGAUGCGAGCGUUAUCCGGAUUCAUUGGGUUUAAAGGGUGCGUAGGCGGCCCGGUAAGUCAGCGGUGAAAGUUUGCGGCUCAACCGUAAAAUUGCCGUUGAUACUGUCGGGCUUGAGUUCAGAUGAAGUGGGCGGAAUGAGUAGUGUAGCGGUGAAAUGCUUAGAUAUUACUCAGAACACCGAUUGCGAAGGCAGCCCACUAAACUGCGACUGACGCUGAUGCACGAAAGCGUGGGGAUCGAACAGGAUUAGAUACCCCUGUAGUCC